rnacentral:misc_RNA from 1 species
GAUCAAUAAUAUUUCAAGAAUUAAUUCUCUCUUUAAGAAUUGAUUCUUGAUUUUUCUUAAUUUUUUUUUGUUUAUCGUUCAUCACUUUUUUCCUUCAUUUACUACACUAAAUCAACUAAAAAGCUAAGGGCAUUACUUAAAAGCAAAUCAAAUACAUGCUUCCUUUUGUUUUCAGGAUUCUAAAGUAAUUAACUAGUUGGCCGUCAAGCCGAUCAACAAAAGCCUCAACAUUGAAGUAUGAGCAUGCGGGAACUAAUGCAUGGCUUAGGUGCCCCACCCAUCCCCUUUCAAGUGUGUAAGCUCUAGGACUUAAGAAUCAAUUCGUUAAUAGUAGCUUAUCAAUUAUUUUACUGGUUAUUAAAUAUUAAAUAUUAAUAGUUAG